rnacentral:rRNA from 1 species
GACGAACGCUGGCGGCGCGCUUAACACAUGCAAGUCGAGCGAGAACCCAGGCUUCGGCCUGGGGGAAAGCGGCGAACGGGUGAGUAACACGUGGGUAAUCUGCCCUCGACAUCGGGAUAGCCCGGGGAAACCCGGAUUAAUACCGAAUGGCCCAUCAGCUUUUCGGAGCGGAUGGAAAAGGUAGCUUCGGCCUCCGGUCGAGGAGGAGCCCGCGGCGGAUUAGCUUGUUGGUGAGGUAACGGCUCACCAAGGCUCCGAUCCGUAGCUGGUCUGAGAGGACGAUCAGCCACACUGGGACUGAGACACGGCCCAGACUCCUACGGGAGGCAGCAGUGGGGAAUCUUGCGCAAUGGGCGAAAGCCUGACGCAGCGACGCCGCGUGAGGGAAGAAGGCCUUCGGGUUGUAAACCUCUUUCAGGAGGGACGAAGCCACUCGGGUUAAUAGCCCAGAGGGUGACGGUACCUCCAGAAGAAGCCCCGGCUAACUACGUGCCAGCCGCCGCGGUAACAC